rnacentral:tRNA from 1 species
UGCAAGUUAGUACACUUAAUACCUUUAAUUUAGGCUUAAAAGAAAGACUUCAAAUCUACUUGCAA